rnacentral:rRNA from 1 species
AACGAACGCUGGCGGCAUGCCUAACACAUGCAAGUCGAACGAGACCUUCGGGUCCAGUGGCGCACGGGUGCGUAACGCGUGGGAACCUGCCCUUAGGUUCGGAAUAACUCCCCGAAAGGGGUGCUAAUACCGGAUAAUGUCUUCGGACCAAAGAUUUAUCGCCUUUGGAUGGGCCAGCGUUGGAUUAGCUAGUUGGUAGGGUAAAAGCCUACCAAGGCGACGUUCCAUAGCUGGUCUGAGAGGAUGAGCAGCCACACUGGGACUGAGACACGGCCCAGACUCCUGCGGGAUGGGGCAGAGGCGAAGAUUAGACAAAGGGCCAGAGGAUUAACAAACUUUGCCGCGUGAGUGAUGAAGGCCGUAGGGUUGUAAGGCUCUAUUACCCGGGUUAUUGAUGACAGUACCGGGUGAAUAAGCCCCGGCUAACUCCGUG